CAAGAAUAACAAUCCAGUAACGUGGAGGACGUUUGAAAUCGGAAUUGGAAAUUUCAAUUUUAGAUUUCUGAACAUGCGCACACUCGACAGAAGAAACACACACACGACCGCACCCGACACGAGGCAAGGCCUUACACACGUAGAGCACAAUGAUACAGGGGAUUCUGCUAUGGAUGGCGGCCAUGAUGGAUUUUCUUACCUGCCUGCCUUCUCCUCUGAAAUGGUCGUCUGAUUCAAAACUGCCAAACGUUGUCGUGCCAAUGCAUGUGCCAAUGAUAAACACCAGUACGCAAUUUACGUUUGUGCACACAAGUUAUUCGGUUGAUUGUUUUUCCUUUCCCAAAAUGGUGGGAAAGAGGCGUCUCCUGACUGAUGACAGGAAAGAUAUGUUACACAACCGUGAAAAGUUUGGUUUUCCAGUAUUGGUGUCAAUCAAAACUGUUUGAAAUAUGUAACAUUUUCAGAAGGAAUAACUGUUUAAUGCUGUUGUCUAUUCAGUAUUUUUGUUGCUCCCUAAGGAACCAUCAAGCAAGGGCUUGGUGAGAGACUGCUGUAUACUGGAUAAACUCUACUCUCAGUUUAGCAGUCUUGAAAUCAAUCAAAUCAACUGGAUAUUCAGUGUUUUUAACAGGGAAUGGCUAAUAAUACUUUGAGUGUAAUGUCAACUUAAAGCAGAACACACAUUUCAACAAAAUCUGAGCCACGAAUCACCUCAUCACGCUCUUAAAUGUCCUCGCCCAGAGCUCCAGUAUCUUGUGGUGUGCAGCUACAUCCAGCUGCGACGCUGGUGGAGAUGAUAUUUUCAGGUAGACCGGUCGCCGGAUCCCUAAUGGAAACCUGUAGAGUCGUCAUCAGCUGUUUGCAACUGCGUCCUGUCCCGCAAUUUUCAUUUUUGCAGGUUCCUGAGCAAACGAUUUCGUCGAUGGCGACCACAACAUUUCCCAGUGGAUGAUCGUUUUCUACGGUUUUGUUUUCCACUUUGAAAGGACAAACAGUUUGGGAAUGUCGACCGAGUUCCUGCAGUUCGUCCACGAUGGAAACCAUGCGAUACUGGACCACGUCGUCUUCUUCUUCAGGCAGUCCAAGUUGACCGGAACCAAUUGCGCCAGUGCUUGGUAGGACCAGGCAAUGAGCUGCGGAGACACAAAAGGUAACCAAAAGCAAGAUUGUUUUCAUCGUCAAGGUAAUGAUUGAAAGAAGGACUGGGAGUAAUUCAGAGGAGUAACUAUGAGCCGAGUUCAAAGUGGUUGUGAUGGAUUCAGUUCUCGAAUCGAUCGGUUUUAUAUGAGAAUUGAAAGUUUCAAGGAUGUCAAUAUCCGCAGCACAUAUCACAUCUGUUUGAGGUUUUUGCAAAUCAUUCUUCUCUGUUAGCGGAUUCCCCGUUUAAUAUUUCCGUUGAUUUAGUGACGCAAGGCGCGUCGCUCUACGUCAUUAAAAAAUUCAUUUAUAACGUUCUACUGAUGAAGGUCGCCCAAACAUUGUUUACCUUCCCGAAAUGUGGUUGAUCCUUUAUCCGCCAGGUCUUUCAGCAGUAGCCUACUGCACGUUUAAAUUUCCGUUUAUUGUUCACCGCGAAACAUUAAACUUUUGGGGUUUCGGAAGGAAGUUAACCAUCGAGUGCGCUCGUAAGGGAAAUCACGAAGGGAGGGGGGGAAUGCGGAAUACGUGACGGAUGUUGGAAAAGUUGUUACCAUGGUAAUAGUACAUUGAUUCUAUUGGAGAUACGUGCUUGUUGUUUUCGCCGUCCUGUUUAGUAUUUCCAUGACGCUUUCUAUCCUUUCCAACCGCACGUUCGUCGGUAUCUGUGCCAGUUAACCGCAAUUAUUCGGAUGAUAUUGCGACGUGGUUAAAUCGGUUUCCUCUUGCAGCGGGAUUAAACACAUUUCGCCAUUGACCCAGUCGAAUCCAUCAGUUGCUCAAUUGUGUUUUUUAUUGUACAAGAGUUUAGCAGCUGUGUUUUACCUUAAUUGAAAAUUGGGGGGAAGAAACCGUAUAGGUUAUUGUUUUGACGGAAACGGAAUAGUGUUGUGAGUUUGUUUUCACGAUUGCUGUUGGAAAUCCGUAAUUAUGUGUUUCCCGCGUUUGCGCUUGUGCGAUGAUUUUCCAGAAAUAAUUUCGGAUCCUUAACAUCCUUAUUUAAAAUGUCAGAUCAUAUCCCGCCGGUUCUAGUAGAGAGAUGGUUGAUUUAUCUUUCUGUACAUCUGUAGGUUGUUUAGCAUAUAUAUAUAUUUUUAAAUCACCCACGUUUAAUGUUCAGUUCUGGAAUGGCAAAUUUGUUCUGCCCUUGGGUUUUUUUU